GGCCUUCUGGUGCUGACCGCAAGCUGUGUUCUUACACUGCAUAGAAAAAGGAGGCAGAGUAAACUCACCCCAUAUAUACCUCAACCUAGGCUCUGUGCCUGACCUCUUGUGAGUAAGGAGGCAUGC
rnacentral:snoRNA from 1 species